rnacentral:ncRNA from 1 species
UAUUCUCGGGAGAGAACCUUUAAGGGUGGCCGAAGGAAUAAGUAAUAUCUGCCAAAUAUUAUGAAUCUCUCAGGCGAAAGUACCGUGAAUU